UACGUAGGGGGCAAGCGUUGUCCGGAUUUAUUGGGCGUAAAGAGCGUGUAGGCGGCCAUACAGGUCAGCUGUGAAAACUCGAGGCUCAACCUCGAGACGUCGGUGAAACCGUAUGGCUAGAGUCCGGAAGAGGAGAGUGGAAUUCCCGGGUGUAGCGGUGGAAUGCGCAGAUAUCAGGAGGAACACCGAUGGCGAAGGCAGAUCUCUGGGCCGUAACUGACGCUGAGGAGCGAAAGCAUGGGGGAGCAAACAGG
rnacentral:rRNA from 1 species